UGAUUUGAUUGGCUAUAGUUGCAUUUUUUUGGGAAAGCCUGGUUGGCUGAUGAUGAUGAGCUGACCAUAGGUUUUGAUUUCUAAGCAUUUCAGGCUUACUUUUGGGUUUGCUUAUGGAGGCUACUAAGAUAUUUAAGCCACUUCCAUCUAAUGGCUUCCUUGUUGAAUUAACACUUCCCUUUCCAACUAUUAAAGAAUAAGAGCAAGAAUAAGAAAAAUGGGAGUUCCUAUUGUAGCUCAGUGGGGAUGAAUCCAACUAGUAUCCAUGAGGAUGCAGGUUCGAUCCCUGGCAUUGCUCAGUGUGUUAAGGAUCUGGUGUUGCUGUGAGCAGUGGUGUAGGUUGCAGACUAGGCUCGGAUUUGGCGUGGCUGUGGCAUAGGCCAGCCACUUCAGCUCUGAUUCAACCCUUAGCCUGGGAACUUCCAUAGCCCUGAGUGCAGCCCUAAAAAAAAAAAAAAAAAAAAAUGCCCUCCCCCCCAAAAAAAGAAUAAGGCAAAUGGUUUGGAUUAGUUUAGAAAAUUAUCUAAAGUAAUUGUAUAUAUGUCCAUGUCAGUAGCUGGGAACAUAAAUUCCUAGAAUUAAAGAUUCAGGUAGUGAAAGCAAGGUUACAAGGUUUAUACCCAUAAUUGGCUCAAGAUCACUGUUAGCUUUUCUUUCCAGAUCUCAUCUCAAACAUGAUGGAAUUACAUGCAAAUUGCCAUAGGGCUGAGGGGAGAAUUGUGAAAGGCAGGCAAAGAGCUGUGGAAGACUGGAAAGCAACUUAGAUGUUGCUGGUUUCCAAAAUAGAGCACAAUGUGCUCUUAUGCAAAAAAGCAGUCUGUAUAAACAUGAUUUGCAGAUAACAAGUUCCUAUUACAUUGUGCAGAAACAAUUUUGUGAAAACACUUAACUGCCCGCCCUCCAAACCUCCACCAUGUUGAUCUAUUCCAGAUGAGGAAACCAAGGCUCUGCAGCCCAAGUAACUUAGGGACACAUGUAUCUGUGCACAUGUCUCCAUCUUCAGGACAAACCACUUUACUAAGUACCUCCUAUGUGUCAAGCACCAAGCUAGGCACUGGGGAUCAGAAAUACUUUGCAAAGACCUUUUCAUGUGAAGCCUGAUUAUCAUGAAGGUCUUGGUGAUUUAGAACCAUGAUACUAAAAGCUGCUAUUUCUUUACUCCUGUCAAGCCCUUUAUGACUUCGGCUAAAUCAUAAAGGUUUAUGUUAAGAUUGGUCAGAAAAUAGACUCCAAACUGUUCCUCUAAUUGGUCCCAAACUCAGUAGUGACAGAGCCCCUACAAGUUAAUGACAUUUUUUCUGUGACACUCCAGAAUGUUGAAAGAAAAUUAAGCUUCAGAUAAUUACAUAAUCUUUUGUUAAAUCAGAUUCCUUAUAUAGUAGAGGCUGGUGUAGAAAUGGUUAUAUAGCAAGUACCCAAGGUUUAAAAAUACAGGCACAUCUUGAAACUGAGAACAAUCUUGUUAACUUUCCCCCUCUGUUAGUUAGAAAAGGAUCUUCAUCAUCUGAUUUUGGGGUAGGAGAGCACCUCUCAUCAGUUCAAGACAGAGCGUCACUGUUGCCUAGGAACAGAGUUUGUUUUGGCAAUCUCUAGUUUAAUCAUAGGAGACUUAAAAAAAUUUGUGUGUGAUAGUCUUUUUCUGAUUCUGUCCCAUUCCUUCCCAUCCCCAAACUCCACCCUUCCCCUAGCUUCCAUCUCCCAAUGCUAGAUUGACUGGUUUUUUUAAGAAAUAUGUUGGCGAUCUUGAAAGACUGCCAAAAUUUGGGAAGCUCUUUGAGCUUAAAAACUGCGAGAAUUUGGGGGAGAGUUCUUCUAUCUUAGAGAAAUACUGAUAAUCUUUCGGUUUGUUUAACCUUACGGCAUUACUUAUAAUGUGUCCUACUUUCAAGUAAACUGAUCCCAUAUCUCAAGUAUAUAAUUAACAUAUUAAGUAUAUAAUUAUAUAAUUAUAAAUUUGUAUGAGGCCUAUAAAUUAUACAAUUAUGUACUUGUAAAACCCAGCCUACUUCAGUUUCUCUUGUAGCUUGGCCAAGAACCUACUUGUAUUGAGUUGAAUGAACUUAGAUUUUCAUUUGGUGAUGCUUUGUUUUUAGUCAGUUCUUCAACCUUCCUAGCCACCCUCCUAGUCCACCAGCUGGUGUUGAUUACGUUGAUUACCCACAUGUUGAUGGCUUGGGCACUGCUCAUGGUGCCUUGUGGGAGUGGGUGUGACCCAGCUUACUGAUGCGCCAUGUCAUUCCAACCAAUCCUGAUAGGCUCUGUGUCAUGGGAUGUUGGUCAAUCAGUGGCCAAAAUGUUAGAGAAGGCUUGAACUUCAUUAAAUGGAUGGCGUCUUUGUUGCAGAUGUAAUUACUAGCACCUCAGCAAGUUCAGAGAGCAAAAAUUUAGCUGAGCUUCUAAGCAGCAAAUGUGUUCCUUCUAAAGAGCAACAUAAAGCAUCUAAAAACCUGGACUUUAGAACUUUCCUGAUGCUUUUUAGCAACUGGAAAGGUUUGAAGAAAUGAACUGUUUCUUUGCACAAAGUUACUUAACUGAGGCAAGUCUUUUCUGUAAAGAGAAAUAUUCUUAACCGACUGCUACAUCUUUUGCCUGGAGUGGUGGUGCACCUCUUUUAUUGAAUGUUCAGAAUCUUCAGGAGUUAGCAUGUUGGUCACCUGCUUAGUUUGGUUUCUGAGAUCUGCCUGAUGACUCAACAGACAUUUGCUCCAAUUCCUCCAGGGGUUGAAGCUUUUCAGCACUAGCCUGCAUUUUUGAUGAUAAUGUGGAGUUCCAUUUGUUUGUUCUAACAUGGAGAAAUUCAGAGAAUUAUAAGUUACUAUUUUUUCACUUACUCAUCAAAUAGUUGCAUGGGCCAGUUCUAUGCGCACAUGAAAUUACAAGCCAUUAGUGUGCACUUAAAUAAAACAGAGGGUAGAAGUUACCCUUUGCUGCUUCAGUGGUUGUCCGGCUGUUGGAAUGGCAUGAGUAGCUUUUAAAAAGGCUCGUGGCCAAAUUCACCCCCAGAGAGUCUGACGUAAUUGGUCCAUGGUGCUGGCUGGGCAUGGGGGGAGCGGGGCAGCAGUGGUGGCGUUAAAAGUUGCCCCAGUGAGUCUAAUAUGAGACAGUCUUGAGAACCAUUGCUUCAGAGUUGAUAGUAUUCUUUUUUUAAUGGCCGCACCUGUAGCACAUGGCUGUCCCGGGCCAGAAGUUGAAUUGGAGCUGUGUUCUGAACCAGAAAAGCAAAGUAAACACUAAGGAACUUAAAAAUCUACUUGUUGGGGUUCCUGUCCCUGGAGAUUUUGCAUCGGUAGGUCUGGGAUGCUUAGGAAAAGCUUCUCAAUGUGAUGCUGAUAACAUCCCUUUGAGAGCCACAACUGUAAAGUAUAAAAUUUUUAAACUUUAGAAACAUAGUAAGGGUGCAGAGAAGAUGCCAUAGAAAUUUCGACGCUAUAAUAUUUAUUGGAGGACUCAGUUUUGUUUUGUUACCUCUGAGUGCUGCAGUGAAAACUGGACUUUCGGUAUUGACCUGCAUUAUUAAUAGUGCAUUAUUUUAGAGUUGGGCUUUGCUUAGUGUGAUUAUGUAUGUGGAAAAGCAUCCUCAACAAGCGUGGGAUGAUUAAGUGAAACUACUUAGGUAUCUGUUGGAAGCCAAUAGAUGUGUAUCUUUUUUUUUUUUUUUUUUUUUUUUUUUUUGCUUCUGUUCAGAGCAUGUUUAAGAGUCUUUUUGGCCACCUUAGUACUUUUGAAGUAUGUUUUCUUUUCAUAAAGUGCGAGGUACUAAUUAAAGCCUUACAUCAUUGUUUGCUUUCUCUUCUUGCUUAAAUUGGGAGGGGGUUUUAAGUGAAUCACUUCCUAGGCUUCUGUGCUAAUUGGCAGUGUUAGGUUUCCUUAACUUUUUCAAGCCAUGGUUAACCCUUUGGGGAAGAAGGAAUGAUUUAACCAAUUUAUCGUAGCCUUUGGUUGAAAACAUCCUUGAAGUUGGAUUACUACGUAUAGCAAAACAACUAACUUGAGUUAGUUGGAGGUGGUCUUUGUGUUUUAUAAUUUGUUUCAUUUCAGAGAGUGUACUGGGUUUCAGCUAGACUAGACUCGUGGCCCAAUGAUCAUUUGUAAUUCUAGAACUCUCCAGAGCCAGUUUGGCCUGUGGUCAGCUAGCCACCUAGUAGAGGGAUGUACAGUCCCAUCCACAGGAGAUGUGGCACCCUCCCCAAUACUUCUGGACCCUGCCCCGCCUCCCGUGGUCCCUCUGUCAUCCUAGCCAGCUCUCCAUCUGAGAUGCCUUUGGCCCUUCCCUGCUACCCACAUCCCCAUGUUUCUCCCUCUUGCACUGCCGUUUCCCUCCCUAAGGUUCCCAGGGUUGCAGGCCCUCCUCUGCUUAGCAACCUUCAUGUCUCCUCCUCAAAAGUUCCUGGACUGUGUUCUUUCUACCUCAGAGACUGCAAAGCCAGACAUGGGCUUAAUUGAAUCCAGCUUGUUUCUCAUCCUUCUGAUGAUUUCAAAAAUCUGGUCUCUUCCCUGCUGUGCAGUUUUUUCAGCCCCAUCCACACCUGCUGCUUUGAUAUUCCUGAUCAGCUAGGACCAUUGUGACUCCCGCCGUGCCCCCAUGGCCAGUCAGUGGAUAUAUUCUCCACAGAUACAGCCCCCAAUCUGGCCUCUUUGUUUUUCUUCUGGCAGGCUGCCAAGGGCUGUUUGCCAGAACCUAUCUUGGCAGCUCUGGGACAUACUGAUGAUUUAUAAGUUCUGUUGGACCCUCUGUGGCCCCGAGUCAACCUCUGUACCCCUUAGACGACGGGGGCUUGCCUUCUUUCCCCUGCAGCUGUAAAAGAUCUUUCCUUAUUAUCUUUGAACUUCAACCACAUUCCUUCCUCCUUGAUGCUCGCAAAGCGAGCAGCCUCAUGAACUCUUACUGAGAAACUAGAGACCGAAAUGCUUCCGUUUUUCCUCUCCCCAGAUUGUUUCUAUGUAUUGUUGCCUAUCUGUCCUCUGUCCCCACUCCCUUCCCUGGCAGGUUGGCUAACUGUGCUCUUCCCGAUUGUUCUUGAACUUUUUUCUGUUAUCACUUCCUCUUAUAUCAUCUUGAGUCCUUCCUUAUCUGUUGAUUGCAGUCUCUUCUAAAACACCUCCCCUGUGGUUUCCCUGCACUGCCUGCUCAACUGUCGCUCCCAUUUACUGACUUCUGAAAGAGAAGUCCAUUGCCGGUUCCACUUCUGCUUCUCCUUCAGCCAGUUGCAACCAACCAUGGCUUUCCCACCCCCGUCCAGCUCACCUUAUGUACGUGUACUUCUUUGCAGCCCCCACACGUUUGCUCGUGUUGGACACUGUUGAUUACCUCUCCUUUGGGACCCACAGGGAAACUGUCCUCAUUUUCCUCCUAAUUCGUAAAUGGCUUUCUCUGUCUCCUCCACUGACUGCUUUUCUGACUCUCAUUCUUUAAGUAUAACCAGUCCUCCAAUGUUGCAUGCUUGGCCUUUUUCCCUUGUUACCCUGACUUGCAGUAUGAAUUCAUCUAGUCCAUGACUUACUUCCUUUGAAUAGUCACUACGGUCAGCAUACACCCAACGGGCACCAAGUACUCAGGCUUCAGAAAUGAGUCCCCGCCUUUGCCUUUUGAGAAGCUCAGCACAUAUUUAUAGAGCACUUAGUAUGUGCCAAACACUAUAUUCUAAUGAGUUAGACACAAUCCCUGAUGGGGGAAACCCACAAGUAGCCAGUUAACAAAUUGAGGACUAUCAAAUAGUGAUAAGAGCUCUGAUCAUUGUAAAGUGAGAAAAGCAUGAGAAAAGCAGUGUGUGGGGUAGGGUUAUCGGAGAAAAUCUUUUACCGGUGAGAACCUGGAAGAAGAUGCACCACAGAAAACCAGGCCACAAGAGAAAAGGCAGUUUGGUUCAUCUAGGUCUCAGUUUCCUUGUCUAUGAAAUGAAGGAAACACACCUAUCCCCAUAGAGGUGUUUGGAGUAUUGGAAUACUCCAAAAUACUAUAAAUGUGAAGUACCUCAUGCAAUGUCUGCCCUGUAGUGUCUGUAUUUGUCUUUUGUCUCCUUGUCUGUGUCUCACUCACUCAACACACAUACGCAUACACACACUUUAUCUGUAUGUCUUCCACUUCUUAAAACUCGACAGGGUCGGUGAGCAUUUUGUUCCAGUUAAGACUAGAAAAGAUCAACCAGUUAUUUGACUUUUAAGAAUAGAUAAGAAAUGAGAGUAAUUAGAGGAAUUGAUUUGAAGAAGGAAUUGGUAGUUUUUUGAAUAUUUUCUAAAAGAAUUAAUAUUUUUGAAGUGAAACAUUGAAGUAUCUUUCUUGAAGCAGGGUUAAUAAUCUGUCUUGUACA
rnacentral:lncRNA from 1 species